GACGAACGCUGGCGGCGUGCUUAACACAUGCAAGUCGAACGGAAAGGCCCUGCUUUUGUGGGGUUCUCGAGUGGCGAACGGGUGAGUAACACGUGAGUAACCUGCCCUUGACUUUGGGAUAACUUCAGGAAACUGGGGCUAAUACCGUAUAGGAGCUCCUGCUGCAUGGUGGGGGUUGGAAAGUUUCGGCGGUUGGGGAUGGACUCGCGGCUUAUCAGCUUGUUGGUGGGGUAGUGGCUUACCAAGGCUUUGACGGGUAGCCGGCCUGAGAGGGUGACCGGCCACAUUGGGACUGAGAUACGGACCAGAGUCCUACGGGAGGCAGCAGUGGGGAAUAUUGCACAAUGGGCGGAAGCCUGAUGCAGCAACGCCGCGUGCGGGAUGACGGCCUUCGGGUUGUAAACCGCUUUAGCCUGUGACGAAGCGUGAGUGACGGUAAUGGGUAAAGAAGCACCGGCUAACUACGUG
rnacentral:rRNA from 1 species